CCCCCCCCCCCCCCCCCCCCCCCCCCCCCCCCCCCCCCCCCCCCCCCCCCCCCCCCCCCCCCCCCCCCCCCCCCCCGAGCCGCUAGAGGGCGGCAGUGGCACGGCGCGGGCUGAGGCGGGGGUGGGAGUGAGACCCCAAAACCACCCGGGACACCCCAAAAACGGGGAAAAUCCCCAAAACCACCCGGGACACCCCAAAAACCAGGGACAUCGCAAAGCAGGGAGCCGCUAGAGGGCGGCAGUGGCACGGCGCGGGCUGAGGCGGGGGUGGGAGUGAGACCCCAAAACCACCCGGGACACCCCAAAAACGGGGAAAAUCCCCAAAACCACCCGGGACACCCCAAAAGCGGGGACACCCCAAAACGGGGAACAUUCCCAAAACCUUCUCUGGACACUCAAAUCCCUCUCCUUGCCCUGACCCCACAGCCCCCCCAAAUCCCAGCCACCCCAUCCCCUUCUUUCUCAUCCCAACCCCAUUUGUCCAUGGAAUUGCCCUGGAAUUGUUUUUCCCCUUUGCAGCAUUCCUUCCUCCCUGCCUGAGGAAUCUCCAGGAUCUGGGGAGCCUCUGCUGCAUUUUGGGGGGACAUUUAAACCCGUGAAUGACCCUCAGUGUCCCCAGCACCUCACUGGGACCCUCUGGGGGGUGGGUUGGCACUUCCUGAGGGUCUGGCCCCAUUUUCCUGCCCCCGAAGGGGUUCAAAGGCAGCAGGAGGAAACCCCACAGGUUGUUUGAAUUUCCCCAAUGUGCUCUCAAGAUGUGGCCGGGGCGGAAGCGGCGCCUCAAAGGCUCCGGAGGAGCUGGGGGGAGCCCCAGGUGCAUUUGGGGGGCACAGAGGGGGGCUGGGGACACAAAUCUUGGCUGGGGGUCCCCAGAGGGGCUUUGGGGAGUCCCCAGUGGGGCUCUGGAGGUGUCCCUCAGCUCCAGGGACACCCCAGAAGGGUGCUUGGGUUUCCAAAAGGUCCCAUAGGUGGUGCUGGGUUUGGGGACAGACUGGGUUUGGGGACACACCUGGAGGGACAUUCAGGAGGGUCACAAGUGCCACAGCCACAGACAGGGAGUGUGUCCCAAACCUUCCAGGACACGGGGAUGUCCCCAAGCCCUGCAGGACACGGGGAUGUCCCCAAACCUUCCAGGACACGGGGAUGUCCCCAAGCCCUGCAGGACACGGGGAUGUCCCCAAACCUUCCAGGACACGGGGAUGUCCCCAAGCCCUGCAGGACACGGGGAUGUCCCCAAACCUUCCAGGACACGGGGAUGUCCCCAAGCCCUGCAGGACACGGGGAUGUCCCCAAACCUUCCAGGACACGGGGAUGUCCCCAAGCCCUGCAGGACACGGGGAUGUCCCCAAACCCUGCAGGACACGGGGAUGUCCCCAAACCCUGCAGGACACGGGGAUGUCACCCCACGUGGUGUCCUUGCUCCCUGGACAUGGCACUGGCUCAGCCUGGAUUUUCUCUUCGUUCCCUGACUGGGAAAAAUCCCCAAAUCCCACAAAUUCCAGCUCAUCCUGAGGGUCUGGGGGUGAGGAAGACUCCCUGAGUGCCAAGGUUUGGGUUUGCCAAUUCUCAAUUUCCCUUCUGUGGGGUGGGAUUAGGAGGAGAGCAAAACAAGCUCAGCUUUAAAUUGUACCAAAAAAAAAUUAAUGUUAGAAACUGUAAGAAAAAAGAAUAAAAUUCAGAAUAAAACUUCUAGUUCCCACUGAGGAGGGAGGCAGGAAAAUCCCAAAGGAGUGUCCUGGCUCCCAGGGAGGGACACAUGGACACAAGGACACACAGACACAAGGACUUGGGUGAGAUUUGAGAUUGCAGCUCCCAGAAGGAGCAGUUUUGGUGUCGGGAUGAGCUCGGCAGAGCUGGGACUGAGCCAGGAGCUGCGAGGGGAGGGGGCAGGAAUCCCCCACACAACUGGCAAUGGUUACUGGGGUUUUAUUUUUAGGACAAUUCUCAGCUUGGAGAGCGACAAAGGGAAUAAAAUGGUUCAAUAUGGGCACAGUGCUGAGCGAGGAGGCUGAAAAUCCCCAGGCUGGGAUUUUGGGAAGAGUUUUUGGGAUUUCUGGAGAACUCGAAGGGGUCAUUGGGGGGGUCCCCACUUUUAAGUGGCUUUUACCCCUUUUUUAUGCCCUUUUUAUCCUUUCUUAAUGCUUUUUUUUUACCCUUUUUAAUGUUUUUUUUACCCUUUUUAAUGCUUUUUAAACCCCUUUUAAUGCUUUUUUUACCCCUUUUAAAAUGCCUUUUUUGCCUCUUUUUAUGCUUUUUUAAACCCCUUUUUUAUGUUGAUAAACCCCAACUAAAUCCAGCCCUUGCAAAACCCCAAAUUCCACCCAAACUCUGUGGCCCCCUGAGAACCCCCAAACCCCCCACUCUGUGACAAUUCCUUUCUCCAGCCUGAAAAAAAAAAUCCUUUUAUUCCUGAUGGAGGAGCUGGAUUGGAAAACCAGGAGAGGAACCCGGGGUGCUCCAUCCCUUUCUCUUCCACCUUUUCCCAAACCCCAAAAAAUUCAACUUCACUUCCCAAAACCCUGAGAUCUUUGAGCCGAUUCACCAGCCCCAUAAAAACCCCCAAAAAACUGGGAGAGAAACCCAACCUCACCCCAUCCUUCCCCCCCCCCCCCCCCCCCCCCCCCCCCCCCCCCCCCCCCCCCCCCCCCCCCCCCCCCCCCCCCCCCCCCCCCCCCCCCCCCCCCCCCCCCCCCCCCCCCCCCCC
rnacentral:lncRNA from 1 species